UUUUUUUUUUUUUUAGAAAAUAACCAGCUUAAAAUAUGUUAAAGGGAUAUGUUUUGAGGAGACAAAUUCUGCUCCAAAUUCAAUGCCAAACUCUGCACUGGCACUAAGUAAGCCCUCAAUAAAUAUCUGGGGAUGCAGGACUGGCCUCUAGGUGGCCUACUGAUUAUUCCAAAGGGCACGUGUGCCCAUACAAAUGUAAAAGAAUCCAUUCCACACUCUCUUACAGUCUUGGUAGUUUUGAUAAAAUAUUAUUUAUCUGCUCAGUCUGACUUCAAAAGACCAUGGGGAAAUUUUUUAUUUCAAAGCAGUUCCUAUAUUUAAACUUUUUGAAAAGGAAGUGCAACCAGCAUUCCUCCCAUCUUUCCAUUAGUCUUGAGCCAUCUAAGCUCAGAGGGUGGCCAAGGCAGCAAAUGAAGUGAGAGGCCAUUGAUAUGCAAAUGUGGUCAUUAAGAUGGGAGGUCCCACCCCAGAACUCUGUCACAGUUCUUUUCUGAAGUCAAUUUGCAUUAAAAAAUGAAUCUCCCAAACUUGAAUUUAUUCUCCAAAAUUAAAAUGCAUAGAAAUUAAACUAUUUAAAAAUUGGAGCUUUCAUAAAACACAUUGCUAUUUCUUAGGCGGGCAGCAGGCUGACCUUCAACAACUAGGUACUGUUUGGCUUGUGAAAGGGCUGCUGGUUGUUAAAGAUGGACACUCUUGAACUUGGACUGACCACUGCUGUUUCCAUGGGAAAUGGACACACCAAGCAGUUAAGGCAGGUGCUGUUGGAGAUACUGCUACCUUUUCCAGUUAUGGGAAGUAAGACCUAGAGGGACCAUGUGAUCUAUUCAAGACAGAAAACUGAGUCUUCAGAUUCAGGUAGACUUCCUUUCUCAAUGCUGUUUUUUUGUUUGUUUACAUCUUCUUGUUCUUUUUUUUUUUUUUUUUUUUUUUUUUUUUUCCCCUUGGCUAUACCGGUGGGUCAGCCAGAAGUUCCCUGGCCACAGACUGAACCUGAGCCACAUCAGCGAAAGCCGCAGCAGUGACAACAUUGAAUCCUUAACUGGUAGGCCACCAGGGAACUCCCUCGACACGAUUUUUAAACAGUCUAAUCAUCCAAGGAGCUGUGAUUCCAUUUAGAGCAGAGACCAGACCCACCCAUGUUGUUCAUGUCCACUCUUGGCCCAGGAUUUCAUAGGAGUUUGGGAAUGUAUUUCUAAUCUCACCGAAAAGAGGAAAAGCAAAUUCCUUCCAGGUAAGAGGAUGGGAAGCCCUUCAUCCUGCUGCCUCAACCUGGCUUCCCACAAAAGCCCUAAGGUGCCUUAAAAUCACUUCGGUGGCUGGAUGCCAGGGUCAGAAUCGAUGAUUGAGAGGCAGAGGCACAGCACUUCUGCAAUGAUCUCAGGAAAAUGGGAUGUGACUGCUGAAGCCCAGAGCCCGGCUCCCUGAAAACAGACCUGUCAGCCAGCGCAGUCUCCUACUGCUGAUGGAUGAUGGGCCAACAGCUCACACACCUGUGGACAGCUCCAAUCUCUGCUCGGGAGCUAGCUGCAGCCAGGUAACGUUUGGGAUGUGGAUGUUAUUAAAUUUUUUUUUUGUCUUUUUAGGGCCACACCCAUGGCAUAUGGAGGUUCCCAGGCUAGCAAUUGAAUCAGAACUGCAGCUAUGGGCCCACGCCACAGCAACAGCAACACUGGAUCCGAGCUGCACCUUUGACCUGUGCUGCAGCUUGCAGCAAUGCUGGAUCCUUCACCCACUGAACAAGGCCAGGUAUGGAACCUGCAUCCUCACUGACACUAUGUCAGGUUCUUAACCCAGUGAGCAACCUUGGGAACUCCCACUUUCCCUCCUUGAGAAGCAAACUUCUUUUUUCUUGGGUAUUAUUUUAGAAUUUUGAAAAUCCAGAAACUGCCAUAUGUGGGCAUGUCCUUUAGAUAAAAACAAACGGUUGCAUUUCGUAUAUUUUGUACUGCUCCUUGGUUUUCACGUGUAAUAAUAUAUCUUAGUAAUUUUUUUUCAUUUUAGCCCAAAGAGAUCUAUUUUAUUUAUUUAUUUUUAAAGCUUCAUGGUAUUCCAUCUAUCUUGUAGAUGUGUCAUAACUUAUUACCCAUUUUCCUUUUGAGGGAUAUUUAGGUUGUUUGCAGUCUUUGCUCUUACAGAAAACAGGGCAGUGAAAAAUCCCAUGCAUAUUUCUUUGCAUACAGGUGAGAGUUUAUCUGUAGAGUUAUUUCCUAAAAGUAAAAUUGCUAGGUCUUAUCUCUUUAGUCCAUUACUGCAUGCAUCUCUUUAGUCCUCACAGCAGUCCUAUGAAGCAGGCACUAUUAUUCUUUCCAGUAAAUAUAUGGGGAAAUAGAAAUACAGGGAAGCUAAGUAACUUGUACGAUAAAUUACUGGUGGAGAUUGGAUUAAAAUGAAUUCUGCUGAGCACUGGAGAGACUGCAAACAAUAUUGAAAUCUGAGCCUUCAAGGGACUCUAGACUUCUUGAUAUUAGAAAGGGUUUAGUCGUUUGCUCAGGAUCUUGUGAGAGUCUGCAUUUACAGCUGUAUUAAUCAUGCUAGGAUAGGCUACACUUCUGUAACAAGUCAGUCCUCUGAGUGUUUUAAUAAGACAAAAGGCUUGAGAAUGUAGGUGGGAAGAUUCCAGAAGCUUAGGUUCUUGAGAACAUUGUUGAAUUGCUCCUCCCCCAUCUACCUCUGCACUUCUUGUGAAGUAGAGCAGAUGUGCUUAAGCUUUAAGCCAUUAUUAGUUGAGGUUUCUGUUACUUGCAGCUGGAAACAUUCCCAGCUGGCACAGUGCCAUGCCCUGUGCUAGGUGCUGGGGUGUGGAGCCAGACUGGAUCCAACUCCUGCUCUCUGUGAGCUCAUAGUCCAGUGGAAAAGCACCUCUUUGGAGCCAAAUCUGUACAUGAACCAGGUGUGUUGAUAGUACCGAACUGAGAGGGAGCAGUGGUGUGAGAGUGGCAGGUGCUUGGCGCCAUGGGAACCCAUGGGCCCACAUGUCCUGUGUCCCAUUGAAUUUAGUCCCAUCCCACUCUCAGGACAUGAGCUGUGAUUGCCAGGAACUGGGUAGCCCUCUCUCUUUGAAGGUGGACCUCACUUUUCAGAGAAGCAUUCAGAUUACACUGGGGCUACAAAUUAACACAUUAUUUUAGGCCAUUUCUGGGCCAUAAUUUUAUUCUCCCCUUAGCUAUUUACUGCAUGCAAAUUUUCCACUCCAUGCAAAUCACUCACUUUAUGCAAAUCAUCUACCGUAUGUUCCUAAGCCCCAGCACCUGUGCCAUGCAGAAUUGGAUGACUCAGGCCGUGGAGCAUUCAAGUGCAAACAUUUAACUCAAGCAGUCUCUUCAGGGAGGUGGGAGGGAUAGUUGAGCACUGGAUGACAGGGACAGCAAACAGCCUGCUUCCCUUACAGGGUGUGCUGAACUCUGCCGCCUCCCCUCAUCCCCUCUUCUCUCGCUACCUGCAAGCCCCUUCCAGGUGGUAAUGACUAUUUGGAGUAAAUAUUUUGAUGUGAGUGGAAUGAUUAAGUCCCGGCUGACUCUGCACAGAACCUUAAGGCAAUUAGGUUUCCCAAUCAGUGCAGGUGAGUGCAUCAUUGUGCCUGGCUGGGCUCAGCUAGGUGCUUGAAGGAGCCUGCUUCUCUAAGGUUGGCCUCCUGGGAGAGGGUGUGCAGUGGGCAGUUUGACCUUGGAUGCAUAUUGAAGUUACCUGGGGAGCUUUAAAAAAAUACUCAUAGAAGUUCCCGUCGUGGCUCAGUGGAAACAAAUCUGACUAGUAACCAUGAGGACGCAGGUUUGCUCCCUGGCCUUGCUCAGGGAUUAAGGAUCUGGCGUUGCCAUGAACUAUGGUGUAGGUUGCAGACACGGAUUGGAUCUGGCGUGGCUGUGGCUGUGUGUAGACCAGCGGCUACAGCUCCGAUUUGACCCCUAGCCUGGGACCCUCCACAUGCUGCAGGUGCGGCCUAAAAAGACAAAAACAAAAACAAGAAACCGCAAAAACUCAGCCUGGUCCCACCUGCAAGUAUUCUGAUUUAAUUGUUAUCAUACCUUAAGUUUGGGUCUCUGUGGCUGUACAGUUGAGCUAUGAUUCAAGAACAUAGCUUCAUAUAGGACACAGAAAAAUCUCACUCAGGACACUGACCACAGAGUUCCUCUUCUGCUUCCUCAGGCCAACCAGUGGUCCCAGCUUAGAGCCUCACAACCUCGCCCCUUCUGUGGACACCAUGUAGGAAACUUUUCCGUAUGACCUAUUGUUUAAUCAUUCCAACCCUUGUGGAAGAUAGCCUUGGGCUCAUUUUAUUGAUGAGGAAACUCUGGCUUGGAAAAGUGGCCCACCCAAAGUCUCCCAGCUAGAGAGGAGGAAAGAUGCAUCUGGAAGCCGAGAUUCCUGCCUCCAGUUGUACUGCUGGCCAUUCAGUCCUAGGCACCACUUGUAUUUCCUAGGAUUUAAACCCCGCCACAGUUGCCCUACUCCUGGUCACACACUGUGGACCCUGCACAUUCAAAUUCUGCUUCUCAGGCUAAUUCCCUGACAGGAGAUCUCGGCCUCCCCCUCCCAUCCCAGAGGCUAUUCAGGAGUCCAGCACCACCUGAGGGGCCCGGCCGGGUGAACACUAACUCUUUCCCAUUAGCUCCAUGGACCAUGCCUGAAAACGGGGGAGCUCCUGUUAUUGGAUGGGGGCUCUGAGCGGAAGAAACUAACAAAGAAAGCAGUGGAGAAAGAUGGGUUUGGAUAACAGACCAGAGAGUUCAAUCCACGCUUUGCUCUCUUGUGUGGCCCUGGUCAAGUCUCUUUUCCUCUCUGAGCUCAGCGUCCUAAUUUAUAAAAUUCCUUUUGGGGUUGUGGGGAGGACGACCCCAGACAGUGGAUGUAAUGGCGCUAGAACAGUGCCCGGUGCAUAGUGGGUGUGCAUCCUGUGAGAAUUCCUUUCUCUUCCUCUUUCCCCCUUCCCAUGAUUUUCUGUGGUACAGAUGACAUAGAUUGCGAUUUUCAGAAAGCCUGUUACUAAGUAGCAAACAGGACAUGAAGGGCAUAAUCACAGAGAAGCCGAAAUGGGGACAUUAUUGAUUUAAUUCUUUAAUGUUAAAAAAAUUAAGCUUCUAAAAGAGCCUUUCAAUCAAACAUAUUGUGUGGUUCCCCAAACCCCAGCAGGGUGAGCUCAGUGCCUGCUGUUUCAUUCCACUUUGCUAAUCUGCACCUGCUAGGCUGUUCCCAGGUCAAUAGUGAAUGAGGAGCCACAGCUGGGCUCGCCACAACCCCACUGGGCCUUAUAGUUCUUUCCUGCUUGCCUUCCUUGGAGGCUGGCAUCUGAGCUCUCUAGGACUAUUCUGAUGCCCCCACGUCCAACAAAAGGCCUCCGGAAGACUCUCCUAAGGAAUAUUGCACCCAGGAAUGAAUGAAGUAAGGACGGAAUACUUCCCGGGUGUCAGAGCCCGAAGCCCAAGGUCAUACAGGCAAGACUUCAUAAGCCUGGAAACAGCCCAUCCUUAUCUGAAAGAGGAGGAAGGAGAGGGAGGGGAGGAGAAGAGGGACACUGGGAUUUAAGAUGAAAAGAAACAUUCUCAUUGAGAGGACUGUUGGCUUUAGGGUCAGAAGCCCGGGAUUCUGGCUCUCAUCACAGUAUCCAGUGUGACCAUGAGGGCUGGCUGUCCCCUUCUGAGACUCAGCUUCUUUCAUUGAAAUUCAGGAAGCCAAAGUGACAUGCCUAAGUGCAUGUAAAUAGUACAUGCUGGAUUCAGGACCUAAAUCCAGAUCAGCUGGCCAGAGAAGACCUGACUCCUGAAUCGUGUGGCCGGGGGCAGAGGUGGAGGCAUGGGGCGAGGGGUGGGGAGCCCCAGGUGGAAGUGGUGUGUGUGGCCGGCACAGAGGCAGGAAGUCACAUCCUACGAGACAAGCUGGGUGAGGUCCAGCCAAGCUUCAAGGAAAUGGCUGCGGUUAGGACAGAGAACCAGGUGUGGAGCCCAACUGAAUGGAGGGGACUGAGGGCUGAGGACGGGAGAAUCAGGCCAAGGAUUGCGGCCAGGAGGAACCUGGAGGUGGAGCGAGUUGAGAGCAGCUGCUGCUCACACAGCCCCAGUGCAGGCUGGCCGGGAGGGGCAGCCCUUUCUACCCCACGUGGAACACGUGGGCCCUCUGCACACCCUGCCAGGCCCGUGCACAGAGGCCAUGGGACCCUAGUCUUUCUGGAAGGUGAGAAAACUGGAGGCCCUGUCUCCUUCGGAGCUGUGCUUGCCCUUGUAGAGCUGGCUGCCUCCUUGGCUGCUGCUCUGAGGUUCUGGCACUGUUGAGUGACUUGAAAUCAUCCUCUGGAUUCACGGGUAGAUGUGUAGUUAGGAAUUGCUGCUGCUUCUCUCAUUUGCCCCCAUGAGAGAAGCAGCAGCCCUGGGGGAUUCUGGGGGUUGGGUGGAUGGAGCUGCAGCACGAAACCAAGCUGACCCUGGAGCCCAUCUUACCUUCUUUUUACACAAGCCUACACCUCUCGUUAUUGAAUAGGCCAACUUGAGUUAACUUUUCUGUUACAUGCAGCUGAAAGCAUCUUAAAUGAUACAAUGCAAAGAGACUUCUGGUUAAAGAUGGUGGCUUCACGAUAUGUAUUUCCCUCUUCUCCCUCCUGAGACGCCACUACAGAAGUGAAAAAGGAAGCAAGUCACAAUGAUUCAAAGAAUGAAAGAUCAUUAGUGGGUAAGAUUUUAAGAAAGUUCUAGAAGACGGAAAGGAGAUGGCAGAUGGUGUCUGAAGGAGUGUUUGCGUGAGUGUAUGAGCCUGAGGAUGUCAACCAUAGCAGAGGGCAAGCUGGAGGUGUGUGGCUACAGAUGGGGAUUAAACAGUUUUGUGCAUAGAAAAAUCAGCUCCCUUCCCCCAACUCAGAAUGGCCAAGUAACAAAAUGUCGUCGUCUUUUGAGAAAUUGAAUGGUCUCAGAGAGGUGGCCUCUGGCCUCUGGGGUGGGUGGACCUAUCCAUUAGGCAGUAUCUAGAGAUAACAACACUUUUAGGGAUUCUUGAAAAAAAUUUUUUUGCUUUUUGGGGCUGUACUUGUGGCAUAUGGAGGUUCCCAGGCUAGGGGUCUAAUCAAAGGUAUAGCUGCUGGCCUACACCUCAGCCACAGCAACACAGGAUCCAAGUCACGUCUGUGACCUACACCAUAGCUCAUGGCAACACCAGAUCCUUAACCCACUGAUGGAGGCCAGGGAUCGUACCCAUAACCUCAUGGUUCCUAGUCAGGUUUGUUUCUGUGGCACCAUGAUGGGAAUUCUGAAAAUAUUUUAAUUUUAACUUUAAAAUCAGAAAAAAAUGAGCAUGAGAAUAGUGAAUACAGUUAUAACGAUGAAUCCAGUCUGAAUUACUUCAUCCAAACAUCAACACAGUCAUAAAGUAUCAGUUUUAAUAAUAUUUGGUAGAAGGAGUUCCUGUUGUGGCUCAGCAGUUAAUGAACCUGACUACCAUCCAUGAGGAUGUGGGUUCGAUCCCUAGUCUAGCUCAGUGGGCUAAGGAUCCAGCAUUGCCAUGAGAUGUGGUGUAGGUCACAGAUGUGGCUCGGAUCCUGAAUUGCUGUGGCUCUGGCAUAGGCUGGCAGCUACAUCUCCAAUUGGACCCCUAGCCCGGGAACCUUCAUAUGUCAAGGGUGUGGCCCUAAAAAGACAAAAAAAAAAAAAAAAAAAAAAAAAGGUAGAAAAAGGGGCCUAGGAAGGCUGAAGGCCCAUGAAAAAUCAUAACAUGGGCCUGAUUCGAAGCCCAGCCCAUCACCUGAAAGUGAAGCCCACUCAGAAUUUUAGUGCCUCACAAUUAAAAAAAAAAAAAAA
rnacentral:lncRNA from 1 species